GCAAUAAUUUUGGAAUGAGAUGUUUGACGAGCAGUUGUACUUUUGGUCAUGUAGUAUACAUGACCAAAAGUACAACUGCUCGUCAAACAUCUCAUUCCAAAAUUAUUGC
rnacentral:pre_miRNA from 1 species